AUGGACUAUAUAGUCCAUGGGGUCGCAAAGAGUCAGACGCGACAGAAUGACUUUCACUUCAUUUCACUUCACUUCCGGGUUGUAGCAAUCGCCACUGAAGUUGUUCGGUCUAAGAAUAUGUGCUCUUCAGAGAUCAGGACCCAGCCGGAAGGCAGGAGGAAACACAGGAAGCAGGAGGUGAGCCCAAUGGCGAUAUCCAUGGUCCCGAGCUGCUCCCGCGGCGGCUUGGAAUGUAUCUGGGCACGCGGCACUGGGAGCCGCCGGGCAGGGCCUGUCAGGCCUCUCAACAGCAGUGGAGUCAGCACAGACAUUAAGGCACGGAGUAGACUGGAGAUAACGCGCAUAAAUCAUGAUUUCUUGAAGGCAUAGUAUAAUAUAUGUGCUCCUAAUGAUUUAACUCGGAGAAGGCGAUGGCACCCCACUCCAGUACUCUUGCCUGGAAAAUCCCAUGGACGGAGGAGCCUGGUGGGCUGCAAUCCAUGGGAUCGCGAAGAGUUGGACAUGACUGAGCGACUUCCCUUUCACUUUUCACUUUCAUGCACUGGAGAAGGAAAUGGCAGCCCACUCCAGUGUUCUUGCCUGGAGAAUCCCAGGGACGGGGGAGCCUGGUGGGCUGCCGUCUGUGGGGUCGCACAGAGUCAGACACAACUGAAGCGACUUAGCAGCAGCAGCAAUGAUUUAACUUGGCAUUGAAGUGAUUCUGCAGUGUCCAAGGGGAAGUGAUGAAUUUGUGUAACCAGUUGCCUUGGCUAUACCACUUUGGGGCAAAAGUAAAGUAAGCCAGCAAGGUUUGUCUGGCUCCUCCCUAGCCAACUCUGCAGCAUCCCGUCAGCUGUUGUGCCCUCCCAUAUGGCCCUCUCAGCUACCAUGGGACUCCUGCACCCAACUUUCCUCCUCUGUGGCUUCUGGUGGUGAUGUGUGUUUAGGUACGCAUCUCCACUGGAGACAUCAGUGGCACUGAGCUGGGAUAGCCCUGCUUCAAAGCCUUUGUUACUGAUCUCUCUUUAUGUCUUCCUAGGUUGGGCUGAGGUGGUCUUAGCCCAGUUCCAUCCAUUCUGGGCUCCAACCCAUUUCCCAAUCCCAAUCAGAAGGCAUCAUAACUUCUUCUUGUGCUCUCCUCUGAUAAAGUUGCCACUGUGCUUCCAAUAUGGUCACCUUCUUACUUUUUUACUGUCUCCUCUCCUUCGGGAUCUAGUCCCUGGGGGCAAGACCAGAAACAUUCUGAUUUGGACCAAAGUGUGGGGGUCAUCAUAUUUCAAUCUGAAUCAAGUUGUAUACCAGACUUGAUUUCCCUGGAAAACCCUUUCCCAGGGUGGAGGGUGGGGGAACCUCUGCCAGGAAUGCCCAGGUACAUGUGAAGCCAGGGAAA
rnacentral:lncRNA from 1 species